UUACUUUUUGUAUUCAUUUGUGUUAGUAGUUAGUAGCUGAAACUUAGCAAUGUUUUCAAAGAAGAGUUGACAUGGUUAGCAAUGACUGACAUUCAUAUCGUGUAGUAAUACUGUACUUAAGUAACCUUUAGUAGAAGUUUUGUAUUUUGCAGUUACUGCGUGUAUUUUUAUUUAAAUUUCUUUAUUUUUGUACUUGAUGCCUUACACACAAAUUACAAACCCGAGCUUUGUGGGGGCCUUUUGUGAAAACCUUCCCACAACUUUUUCCUGACUGGCUUGACUUUUACACACACAAGUUUCUAGCUGCUCUUUGUGGGGCCCUUCCGUCUGCUAGUUGUCUUUUGUCUUGGUGUUAUCUCUAAAGUUAACAUGUCUUUCUUAGAACUUCAUGGAUUCUCUUCUUAAAACUGUCUACUCAUCCUCUGUUUGGUUUCACAGACUUUUCUUAACUCUUUUUUAGAGAAUUUUCAUAGAAACACUUUUUCAAUGCACACUUUUCCUUUAAAAAAAUGCUAUAUUGUCAUAUUAAAUGUUCUUAGACUAUGUAUCUAGCCUUAAUUAUAAAGUGUUUACAAAAACUUUUGUAUUAAGGUAAAGUCAUGCAACUAUAAAGUGCUUAGUCUCUGUUUCCCUUUUUGUUCUGUAGGUGGUGGCACUCAAGCCUGGAGACACCAGACCUGGGGCAAAGAAACUUUCACCUGAUAAAAAAGCUAGUUAUGUCUUGGCCCAUCAAAAAAAGGCAACAGAGGUGGUGGUACUCAAACCUGGAGACACCAAACCUGGGGCAAAGAAACUUUCACUUGGUAAAAAACCUAGUCAUGUCUUGGCCCGUCAAAAGAUGACAACAGAGGUCGUGGCACCUGAACCUGGAGACACCAGACCUUGGGCAAAGAAACUUUCACCUGAUCAAACAUCAAGUGAAUUCUCGGCCCGUCAAAAAAUGACAACAGAGGUGGUGGCACUCAAACCAGGAGACACCAGACAUAAGACAAAGAAACUUUCACCUGAUCAAACAUCAAGUCAUGUCUUGGCCCGCCAAAAAGUGGUGGCAUUCAAAGCUGAAGACACCAGACCUGAGGCACAGAAACAAUAUUAUUACACUUGGGUUUUUAUAUUAUUCUUAUUAUUUUUAAGUAUAUUUUUUAUACUUAUUAUUUUCUUUAAAAAUUACUAAUCUUGUAUGAGUUACUGUAAAUAACGAUGUAAAAAUCUGGCUAUAAAGUAACUGUAAAAAUGUUUGGUUAAAGUUUGUUUAGAAAUACACAUAAGGCUGCAAGCAAGUGGAAAGUAAGGAAAUGUAUGCUAUGUGUUUCUGACAGUUUGCCUUUACAGCUGGUCUGAAAGGAACAAUAAAUCUAAUUAAGAAACAAAAAAAAAACGAUUUUGGACCCUAUAUAGAUACAAAACCUAAGAAUAUUUGUGUAUGCAGCAAGUGGACCUCACAACAACUGAAUGUUGGAAAUGAACCCCAUAAGUGACCAAAAAACUAACAUAAACUUUUUAACAUUCAAAUUCGUUUAAACAAAAAUGUUUUUUAUGUUUGGUAUUUUUUUAUAGUGCUUCCUGAUUUUUUUCACACCUGUAGCACCUUUACAAAUGGUGGACCCCACAACUUGCUAAAAAACUGUUGGGCCCCUCAAAGGGGGAAUGCAAGUAUGUGUGUGUGUGUGUGUGUGUGUGUGUGUGUG